UUUUCUUCCGGGGCGGGACUUCCUUUCCAUCAUUGAUAGGCGCCGGGCAGCUGAGCUGGUAGGAGGACCAGACGGGGAGGUUCGGCUCCGCCCCCCAGCGUCCCGUGGCCAUGACGACCGCUCAGAGGGACUCCCUGGUGUGGAAGCUCGCGGGGUUGCUGCGGGAGUCCGGGGAUGUGGUCCUGUCUGGCUGUAGCACCCUGAGCCUGCUGACUCCCACACUGCAACAGCUGAACCACGUAUUUGAGCUGCACCUGGGGCCAUGGGGCCCUGGCCAGACAGGCUUUGUGGCUCUGCCCUCCCAUCCUGCCGACUCCCCUGUCAUUCUUCAGCUUCAGUUUCUCUUCGACGUGCUGCAGAAAACGCUUUCACUCAAGCUGGUCCAUGUUGCUGGUCCUGGCCCCCCAGGGCCCAUCAAGAUUUUCCCCUUCAAAUCCCUUCGGCACCUGGAGCUCCGAGGUGUUCCCCUCCACUGUCUACAUGGCCUCCGAGGCAUCUACUCCCAGCUGGAGACCCUGAUUUGCAGCAGGAGCCUCCAGGCAUUAGAGGAGCUCCUCUCAGCCUGCGGUGGCGACUUCUGCUCUGCCCUCCCUUGGCUGGCUCUGCUUUCUGCCAACUUCAGCUGCAAUGCACUGACCGCCUUAGACAGCUCCCUGCGCCUCUUGUCAGCUCUGCGUUUCUUGAACCUAAGCCACAAUCAAGUCCAGGACUGUCAGGGAUUCCUGAUGGAUUUGUGUGAGCUCCACCAUCUGGACAUCUCCUAUAAUCGCCUGCAUUUGGUGCCAAGAAUGGGACCCUCAGGGGCUGCUCUGGGGGUCCUGAUACUGCGAGGCAAUGAGCUUCGGAGCCUGCAUGGCCUAGAGCAGCUGAGGAAUCUGCGGCACCUGGAUUUGGCAUACAACCUGCUGGAAGGACACCGGGAGCUGUCACCACUGUGGCUGCUGGCUGAGCUCCGCAAGCUCUACCUGGAGGGGAACCCUCUUUGGUUCCACCCUGAGCACCGAGCAGCCACUGCCCAGUACUUGUCACCCCGGGCCAGGGAUGCUGAUACUGGCUUCCUUCUCGAUGGCAAGGUCUUGUCGCUGACAGAUUUUCAGACUCACACAUCCUUGGGGCUCAGCCCCAUGGGCCCACCUUUGCCCUGGCCAGUGGGGAGUACUCCUGAAACCUCAGGUGGCCCUGACCUGAGUGACAGCCUCUCCUCAGGGGGUGUUGUGACCCAGCCCCUGCUUCAUAAGGUUAAGAGCCGAGUCCGUGUGAGACGGGCAAGCAUCUCUGAACCCAGUGAUACAGACCCGGAGCCCCGAACUCUGAACCCCUCUCCGGCUGGAUGGUUCGUGCAGCAGCACCGGGAGCUGGAGCUCAUGAGCAGCUUCCGGGAACGGUUCGGCCGCAACUGGCUGCAGUACAGGAGUCACCUGGAGCCCUCCGGAAACCCUCUGCCGGCCACCCCCACUACUUCUGCCCCCAGUGCACCUCCAGCCAGCUCCCAGGGCCCCGACACUGCACCCAGACCUUCACCCCCGCAGGAGGAAGCCAGAGGCCCCCAGGAGUCACCACAGAAAAUGUCAGAGGAGGUCAGGGCGGAGCCACAGGAGGAGGAAGAGGAGAAGGAGGGGAAGGAGGAGAAGGAGGAGGGGCAGAUGGUGGAACAGGGAGAAGAGGAGGCAGGAGAGGAGGAAGAAGAGGAGCAGGACCAGAAGGAAGUGGAAGCGGAACUCUGUCGCCCCAUGUUGGUGUGUCCCCUGGAGGGGCCUGAGGGCGUACGGGGCAGGGAAUGCUUUCUCAGGGUCACUUCUGCCCACCUGUUUGAGGUGGAACUCCAAGCAGCUCGCACCCUGGAGCGACUGGAGCUCCAGAGUCUGGAGGCAGCUGAGAUAGAGCCGGAGGCCCAGGCCCAGAGGUCGCCCAGGCCCACGGGCUCAGAUCUGCUCCCUGGAGCCCCCAUCCUCAGUCUGCGCUUCUCCUACAUCUGCCCUGACCGGCAGUUGCGUCGCUAUUUGGUGCUGGAGCCUGAUGCCCACGCAGCUGUCCAGGAGCUGCUUGCCGUGUUGACCCCAGUCACCAAUGUGGCUCGGGAACAGCUUGGGGAGGCCAGGGACCUCCUGCUGGGUAGAUUCCAGUGUCUACGCUGUGGCCAUGAGUUCAAGCCAGAGGAGCCCAGGCUGGGAUUAGACAGUGAGGAAGGCUGGAGGCCUCUGUUCCAAAAGACAGAAUCUCCUGCUGUGUGUCCUAACUGUGGUAGUGACCACGUGGUUCUCCUCGCUGUGUCUCGGGGAACCCCCAACAGGGAGCGGAAACAGGGAGAGCAGUCUCUGGCUCCCUCUCCGCCUGCCAGCCCUGUCUGCGACCCUCCUGGCCAUGGUGACCACCUUGACAGGGCCAAGAACAGCCCACCUCAGGCACCGAGCACCCGUGACCACGGUAGUUGGAGCCUCAGUCCCCCCCCUGAGCGCUGUGGCCUCCGCUCUGUGGACCACCGACUCCGGCUCUUCCUGGAUGUUGAGGUGUUCAGCGAUGCCCAGGAGGAGUUCCAGUGCUGCCUCAAGGUGCCAGUGGCAUUGGCAGGCCACACUGGGGAGUUCAUGUGCCUUGUGGUUGUGUCUAACCGCAGGCUGUACCUGUUGAAGGUGACUGGGGAGAUGCGUGAGCCUCCAGCUAGCUGGCUGCAGCUGACCCUGGCUGUUCCCCUGCAGGAUCUGAGUGGCAUAGAGCUGGGCCUGGCAGGCCAGAGCCUGCGGCUAGAGUGGGCAGCUGGGGUGGGCUGCUGUGUGCUGCUGCCCCGAGAUGCCAGGUGUUGCCGGGCCUUCCUAGAGGAGCUCCUUGAUGUCUUGCAGUCUCUGCCCCCUGCCUGGAGGAACUGUGUCAGUGCCACAGAGGAGGAGGUCACCCCCCAGCACCGGCUCUGGCCAUUGCUGGAAAAAGACUCAUCCUUGGAGGCUCGCCAGUUCUUCUACCUUCGGGCGUUCCUGGUUGAAGGUGAAGCCUCUGUGCAGCUGAUGCUUCCCUGGUCUCUGUACCCCACCUUGUCACAGGCACUGGCCCACGCGCAGCACCUGUACAGUGCCCUUGCAGCAACUGUCAGUUCCUGGAACCUGGAGAACUUCUCACUCGAGGGCAUAGCUGAGUAACAGCCUCAGUGUGCCCUGACCCUCUGGGUGGGGUCAGGAGGCACCCAGGAUCCUCAGUUACCCAGAGCCUUUGCUCUCGGGCCCAGGCUUUCUAUGAAGUGGAGCAGCGUGGCUGAGUUGGCCCUGCCUCAUCAGUCACAGAAGGAGAGGGUGGAGCCUUGUUUCUGAGUAGGGCCCUUCCACCUGCCUCGUAUCCCUGUUGCUGACUCCGUCCACCCUGUUCCUGUUAGACGAGGAUGCUGCAGGAUCCCCGGCAGAGCCCUCUCCUCCAGCAGCAUCUGGCGAAGCCUCUGAGAAGGUGCCUCCCUCGGGGCCGGGUCCUGCUGUGCGUGUCAGGGAGCAGCAGCCACUCAGCAGCCUGAGCUCCGUGCUGCUCUACCGCUCAGCCCCUGAGGACUUGCGGCUGCUCUUCUAUGAUGAGAUGAGGAAGCUGAGGCUUGGGGAUGUUAACCAGUUUGCCCAGGCCAAAGUGGUGGAGCUGGGAAUUGAAUCCACAGUUCCCUGAAAUUGAGUCCGCAUCUUCUGUACAACAGGGAAGAUGAAAAAGACAGGUCCUCUGGAGGCUUUCAGUAAACGUCGGCUGGAUUCUGUUUACGAAGCUCAGAGUCAGGAUCUUUUAUGGGGAGUGACACGGGCCUGGGGAAGGGGAGAGGCACUGAGCCAAGGUGGAGACAGUGAGGCCUUCCCAGAGACCUCCCUUGUACCCACCCUGGUGUGGUCCCCAUGAGCCUCGCCUUGCUAACUGCUCGGUCUGCCAGGUGUCCCGGCUGGAGAGCUUUUGGGCACUCCGUGUGGUGUGUCAGGAGCAGCUGACAGCCCUGCUUGCCUGGAUCCGGGAACCAUGGGAGGAGCUGUUUUCCAUCGGACUCCGGACAGUGAUCCAAGAGGCGCUGGCCCUUGACCGAUGAGGGUCCCACGCUGACCUUGGCCCUGACCUCAGGAGCCACGCUGUAGACAUUCCCUCUCCUGGUCUCUGGGUCUGGCUUCCAGGCUCUGGCUGUGGACGUCUUCAGCCUCUGGGUGCUGGCCAGUGAGGCCCCAAAUGACCCAGGGCUUAAGGGAGAGGUGAGAGAAUGAUCUGGCCUCAGGGGACAGGCCACCUGGUCAGGAGGAAUAUUUUUCCUGCACUUUUUCUCAGGUAUCAAUAAAGUUGUUUCCAACUCA